CGCUCCAUCUCUCACCGAUUGGGCCACAUGUCACCUGUAGAUUGGCUGCGUCGGUUGGGUGGGAGACAAAAGCAGAGCCCGGCCAAACCCUACACAUCCCGUUCUCAUCUCUCUCCCCGCGCCCCCAAUCCCCGCCGCCACCUCCCUGCUCCUCCUCUCGCUCCCGUCCUCUCCCUCGUCCGAGGAUAGCAAGCGGGGCGGCGAUGUUCUCCUUCAUCGGCGACGGCGGUCUUCUCUGGGUGAGGACGGUGCUCUCCUCCGAGCGGACACGGAGGUGUCCUCCGAGCAGCAGCCUGCGCUUGAGGCAGAAUAUUGGUGCAGUCGUCAACAGUGACAAUAGUAGCCACGGAUACACCGACCUGGAGAAGCGUAGUGGCAGCAGUAGCUACAGAUGGGGAGUGCUGAUCUGUUCCCCUCUCCAGAGGGGGAUCGGACCAUUGAAGAAGCAUCCCAAAGUUGCUAAACAAGAACUACCUGACUUCCAUCAAUUGAUGAUCAUAUAGCGGAUGACCUUCUGAUAAAGGGGCUACAUAUGAGCAACCUACCUACCCUGAGCAAGAAGUUACUUGACAUAUUGAGAUUGGGCCAGACCUGACAUGCUUUCGAUUAUUCUCCUGCCUAGGAAACAUUUUCUUUUUUGAUAAGGGGCUUAUUGCAAUGGGCAAUAUUCCUUUCUCAGUCAUUUCCUUAUUUUCUGAUGAACUGGUUAUGACUAGGUCAUGAGGUGUCGCAAUGCUUGACCUAUUCUGGGAUUGGAGUAAUUUCAAGGUAUUUUUUUGGUUAAUGCUGAUCCCUGAUUUCGUAAAUGCAUAGUUGUUUUUCCACUUCGCUUCCUUUUGUGUUCCUGGAUAUUUGUCCUUUAAUUCAGCUUUAUGUGCCCAUGGAGCGUUGAUUCUUCUAAAAAAUGAAGUGUUAAUUGCUAAGAUAAGUGGGCAUGUUGGAACGUCCCAUCCAAGCAGUACUUGGAUUGGAGCAUUGAAACUCUGCCAGGUUCUUUUGAGAUCUUCAAAGGGCUGUAAUCAGUUGUUUCCACGGGUUGAUAAACUAAUAUAGGUUGUUUCAAUUUACAAGAGUAUUUCUUACGGUCCAGUUUUCUUGCUAAUCUCAAUCCUAUUUUUUAAUCUGUUGUUUCCACGGGGUGAUAAGGUUUCUGUUGAGAGACUUCUCAACAUUUUGGGAUGUGUCACGACUCACGACCUUCUCUCAAGGGUGGACCAGCCGCAACGCAUAUGCUUUUUUCUCCACAUCACUCCAAGCAGCAGCUACAGGCAGAACCAAUUUAUGUCCAUGAUUGGCAGCGUAGAACAUGAUCAGGAGGCCAGGAUUAUCACUUUAGAGUAUACUUGGUCUGCUUCAUAUUCUGGUUGCGGUUACGCAGACUUCAGGAUUGGGAUCAAUCUAUGUAGCAGAAAGAGAUCGAGGCGAUCCUUGGGAUUAUGCAGUAAAAUUGACAAACUCAGGUGAAGUGAUGCACUUUUUAUCUACCAGGAUCACACAUUGGUUCAGAGUUAUGUGAAUCAUCUAUGGGUUCAGAUUGGUGUUUAUAAAGCACCACAGUGAGGUGAUCAAUUGGAGAUUGAACAUGGCUUGCAGCGACGGUUCAGGAUUGGGUCAAUCUAUGUAUAUGAGGGAGGUGGAGGUUGAUGCGCUCCUUGUGAUUAAGCAGCAAAAGGGACAAACUCAGGUUAAAUGGACCUUGAACCAUUUGAUCCUAUUUCCGUGGACAAAUUUAUGUUGUGGAACUUGAUUGGGUCAAAUCCAUGCGCCUCCAAAUCAUGUAACACACCAAGGAUAUUGACAUAUUGUAUUGCUGCUCACAUGUGGCGUAGCAGCAGAGGCGGGACGAGUUUGCUUGUGCUAGAAUUCCGAAAAGUGAGAAAAUAGGAAUUGCAGACUUGGGAGGAUGAACUAGCACCUUAUGUAUGCUCAAGAUCCAGGAAGCAUCUAGCUCAAGAUCCAGGCGAUGCUGAAGUUCAACCACAAGUAUAUGACUCACGUGGCUGACGCAAACUAUAGAGCUUUCACUGUUCUACCUGGGAGUCUUUUAGUGUGCAGAAGGCAUAUGGACAGUUUGGUGGACGCAAAUAAGAUGUACUAAAUGAUCACGGGACGUGGGAGAACUUUGCUGCUCUGUAAUAUACAUCUGCUUUUAGCUUUCUUCUUUUCACUUAUAUAUCAAUGUUUAAUGUAACAUUUUAAUAAUGGGCUAUCAAACGCAUGGAGCAUUGAUUGAAAAUAAGAUACUAAUGAUUAUAAAUA